UACGAAGGGUGCAAGCGUUAACCGGAAUUACUGGGCGUAAAGGGUGCGUAGGCGGUUCGUUAAGUCUGUCGUGAAAUCCCCGGGCUCAACCUGGGAAUGGCGAUGGAUACUGGCGAGCUAGAGUGUGUCAGAGGAUGGCGGAAUUCCCGGUGUAGCGGUGAAAUGCGUAGAGAUCGGGAGGAACAUCAGUGGCGAAGGCGGCCAUCUGGGACAACACUGACGCUGAAGCACGAAAGCGUGGGGAGCAAACAGG
rnacentral:rRNA from 1 species